rnacentral:rRNA from 1 species
GACGAACGCUGGCGGCGUGCUUAACACAUGCAAGUCGAACGGAAAGGCCCUGCUUUUGUGGGUUUCUCGAUUGGCGAACGGGUGAGUAACACGUGAGUAACCUGCCCUUGACUUUGUGAUAACUUCAGGAAACUGGGGCUCAUACCGGAUAGGAUCUCCUGCUGCAUGUUGGGGGUUGGAAAGUUUCGGCGGUUGGGGAUGGACUCGCGGCUUAUCAGCUUGUUGGUGGGGUAGUGGCUUACCAAGGCUUUGACGGGUAGCCGGCCUGAGAGGGUGACCGGCCACAUUGGGACUGAGAUACGGCCCAGACUCCUACGGGAGGCAGCAGUGGGGAAUAUUGCACAAUGGGCGGAAGCCUGAUGCAGCAACGCCGCGUGCGGGAUGACGGCCUUCGGGUUGUAAACCGCUUUCGCCUGUGACGAAGCGUGAGUGACGGUAAUGGGUAAAGAAGCAACGGCUAAGUACGUG